AAAAAAAAAAAAAAGAAUGCAAAAAUUAAAAAGGCUUGAUAUAUAUUUAUAUUAAAAUAGAUAUCAAUAGUAUGAUAAAAAAAAAAUUCAGUUAAUUUGAUUCCUUAGCGAAGCUGAAGUUUUUCAUUGGGUUCAUCAACCUCAUUAAGCAGAAAAAUAAUCAUUAUCAGAACUACUUAUUUCUAUCAGCUUCCUCUUCUUCCUCAAUGAUGCUGAACGUGUCGCUAGACUUGAUUCAUUAACCUCAUUA
rnacentral:misc_RNA from 1 species